CCAAUAGCGUAUAUUAAAGUUGUUGCAGUUAAAAAGCUCGUAGUUGAAUUUCGGGGUUAGUAGUUUGGUCGUGCCAAUGGUAUGUACUGGGCUCACUGAUUCCUCCUUCCUGAUGAACUGUAAUGCCAUUAAUUUGGUGUUGCAGGGAAACUGGACUGUUACUUUGAAAAAAUUAGAGUGUUUAAAGCAAGCUAACGCUUGAAUACAUUAGCAUGGAAUAAUGAAAUAGGACGUUCGAACCUAUUUUGUUGGUUUCUAGGAUUGACGUAAUGAUUAAUAGGGAUAGUUGGGGGCAUUAGUAUUCAAUUGUCAGAGGUGAAAUUCUUGGAUUUAUUGAAGACUAACUACUGCGAAAGCAUUUGCCAAGGAUGUUUUCAUUAAUCAAGAACGAAAGUUAGGGGAUCGAAGACGAUCAGAUACCGUCGUAGUCUUAACCAUAAACUAUGCCGACUAGGGAUCGGAUGAUGUUAAUUUUUUAAUGACUCAUUCGGCGCCUUACAGGAAACCAAGUGUUUGGGUUC
rnacentral:rRNA from 1 species